GGGCUUGUAGCUCAGUGGUAGUAGCGCUCGCUUUGCAUGCGAGAGGUCCGGGGUUCAAUCCCCCGUGAGUCCA